UUGGGGUCAAUGGGGGCUGAUGGGGUCAUUGAGGUCAUUGAAUUCAAUGGCGUUAUUGAAGUCAGUGGAGUCAUUGGAGUCAAUGGGGUCAUUGGAGUCAACAAGGUCUUUGGAGUCAAUGGGGUCCCUGUGGCAAUGGGGGUCAUUGGGUUCAAUGUGGGUUAUUGGGGUCACUGUAGUCAAUGGAGUCAUUGGGGUCAAUUGGGUCAUUGGGGUCAAUGGGGGUCAUUGGGAUCAAUGAAGGCCAUUGGUGUUAAAGGGGUUAGUGGUGUCAAUGGGGUCUAUGGGGUCACUGAGGUAAAUGGGUUGUUGGGGUCUUAUGGGGUCAUGGGUAUCAUUAGAAACUUUUGGAUCGGUGGGGUCAGUGGGGGCUGAUGGAAUCAUUGAGGGGUCAUUGAAUUCACUGGGGUUAUUGGAGUCAAUGGGGUCAUUGUAGUCAAUGGAGUCAUUGGGGUUAAUUGGGUCAUUGGGGUCAAUGCUUUUAAUGGGGUCAGUAGGGGUCAGUGGGGUCAGUGGAGUCAUUGGCGUUAUUGGGGUCAUUGAGGUCAAUGGGGGUCAUGUGGGGUUAAUGCGGUCUGUGGUGUCAAUGGGGUUACUGGGGUUAAUGGGGUCAUGUGGGGUUAAUGGGGUCAG
ensembl:lncRNA